rnacentral:rRNA from 1 species
CAGCCGCCGCGGUAAUACGAAGGGUGCAAGCGUUACUCGGAAUUACUGGGCGUAAAGCGUGCGUAGGUGGUGGUUUAAGUCCGUUGUGAAAGCCCUGGGCUCAACCUGGGAAUUGCAGUGGAUACUGGAUCACUAGAGUGUGGUAGAGGAUAGUGGAAUUUCCGGUGUAGCAGUGAAAUGCGUAGAGAUCGGAAGGAACAUCUGUGGCGAAGGCGACUAUCUGGGCCAACACUGACACUGAGGCACGAAAGCGUGGGGAGCAAACAGGAUUAGAUACCCCCGUAGUCCCUGUCCCUUAUAC